rnacentral:rRNA from 1 species
AGCGAACGCUGGCGGCAGGCCUAACACGUGCAAGUCGAACGAAGUCUUCGGACUUAGUGGCGGACGGGUGAGUAACACGUGGGAACGUGCCUUUAGGUUCGGAAUAACUCAGGGAAACUUGUGCUAAUACCGAAUGUGCCCUUCGGGGGAAAGAUUUAUCGCCUUUAGAGCGGCCCGCGUCUGAUUAGCUGGUUGGUGAGGUAAUGGCUCACCAAGGCUACGAUCAGUAGCUGGUCUGAGAGGAUGACCAGCCACAUUGGGACUGAGACACGGCCCAAACUCCUACGGGAGGCAGCAGUGGGGAAUCUUGCGCAAUGGGCGAAAGCCUGACGCAGCCAUGCCGCGUGGAUGAUGAAGGUCUUAGGAUUGUAAAAUCCUUUCACCGGUGAAGAUAAUGACUGUAGCCGGAGAAGAAGCCCCGGCUAACUUCGUGCCAGCCGCCGCGGUAACAC